rnacentral:rRNA from 1 species
CACGUAGGGGGCGAGCGUUGUUCGGAAUUACUGGGCGUAAAGGGCGCGUAGGCGGUGUGUCAAGUCAGGCGUGAAAGCCCCGGGCUCAACCUGGGAACGGCGCUUGAGACUGGCACGCUCGAGUUCGGGAGAGGACGGCGGAAUUCCCAGUGUAGAGGUGAAAUUCGUAGAUAUUGGGAAGAACACCGAUGGCGAAGGCAGCCGUCUGGACCGACACUGACGCUGAGGCGCGAAAGCGUGGGUAGCAAACAGG